UCAUGUCUCAAAUCUGAUCACUAGUCGUGAGCAACAGUAUUAUGAAAUUUUAAGAAUUAUUAUUUCAUACACAAGAAUCGUAAAAAUAAUAUUAUAUAAUUUCAAGAAUCGUGUCGUGUUACAUUUGUGAUACUAUAUUUAUCAAUUGGUGUGUAUCUUGUCACGGAACGAUGAUGUGUGACAACAUACAAAGUGCAAAAAAGUAUGCUGUUGUGAAAUUUAAAUUAGAUUCCACAUAUUCUGAAAUUCCGGCAAUCUGGUUGGUGGAAAAUGGCGACGGACAAUGGUGUUUAUGGCCACCUCGAACAGCAAAUAACGCAACAUUGAUAUUGGACUGUGCAACUCCAAAUUAUAAUACUUGGGGCCAAUAUAAAGUCGAGAUCAUUAAAUUUUGUUAUAUUGCCAAACGUCUGCUACAAAUUUUUGUGAGCAGAAAGACUGCAGAUUGUAUACAAAACCUGUUUCAUCAGAUGAUGAUAGCAGAAUGUCAGCAGAAAUGUAACAAAAUCUGCUGACAUAAUUUGACAGCAGAUCAGUAACAGAAACCGAGCAGGAUUUGUUCGGAAUUAUUACAGCAGAUUGGCGGCAGAAACCGAGCAGGACCUGCGCAACGCAGUUUCAUCCCUAGUAGCAAUCUGCAGCAAGACUAUUGCAAAUCUUGCAGCAGAUUCUUGCCAGAUUCUGCCAGCAGACAGAUAGGGUCUGUUUCCUCAUUCUGCUCAUGAUCUUUCGGGAGAUUCUGGAGGCACCUUCUUGCAAGAAACUUGCACGAAUCUGUCGCAAAUCUUGCAGCAGUCUUUCAUCAGAAUUAUACUUUAUCGUAAGAUACUUGCAGCGGAUUUUCAGCAGACUGGUACAAGAUUCUGAAGGCAGAUUCUUGCAAGAA